GCUAGUUCUUGGCUGGUACAUACAGACCUUGACAAUUUAAGUAGAAUUAUCCCUAGGCACAGACUAGGCAGCUAUGUGUGAGGUGUGAUAAAAAUAUAUGGUGAAUAUCUCAAUGUAAAGGAAAGUAUUACACCAAAAGUCAUAUUGCCGUUAAUCUCCCUCAAGAUGUUUCCCCUCACUUUGAACACACUUAUCCCACCAAGCCUGCCUCCUUCUGAAGCUAUUCUGGAAGUCUUCUUUUAUGAAUGUUUCAGUUGUGCUCUUGUGUCUGCCUCCAUGCACUGAACUGAUUAAAACUGUUUGCCUUUCAUGGUGAUUCUCACGUUACGAAAGACCCAGAAGUCACACAGCGCCAGAUCCACCGAGUAAGACGGAUAAGGACAUGGAGCAAUGUUUUAAUGAGCCUGCAGCGGCGUUCACUGUAUUCCUGGUCACCCAUCAUAAAGACUGAAAAGAAGGCUUCUAAAACUGCUUCAGAAAGCGCCAAGAAUGAUGGGUAUUCCCUUAAAGAUGUGCAUAUGACCCAGUUCCAGCCAGUGAGCCUGUUGACGCUGAAACAUCCCCAAAGUGAACGAAGACUGAAUUCAGCGAAGAGAAAACUCCUCCUUCCCAAGUCUGCCUGCCUGCAGGUAGUCAUGGAAAACCACCAUUUUGUGACCCAAAGAGGAAAACCAAGAAUCACAGAGACUUCCAGCCUUAUCUUGCUGAGUUGAUGAAAUAGUGCAUCCAACCUCCUCCUCCCCGGCUUUACUGUGUGAUAAAAAUUCAACGGCACUAAUUCCGGCUACAGAUAUUUCCUCAUGCGUGGUGAGAAAUGUAUUUCUAAUAUUCUUCCUAGACAACAUUUUGACUGAAGGAAAUAAGCUAAGAAACAUCUGGUCUAUUUCUCCUUUCAGCUGCAUGCACGACUAACACUGCCCGCUGGGAUCGGCACAAUACAAAUAGGUUUGCAUGUUCUCCUAUCAGGUAUAGAUGCCUUCAAACACAAGACCAAGAACCUGCUAUACAGUUGACUGUAUGGUCAAAACUGGGCCUUUCUGGAUGUUAAUGACGUGAAAUGAGUGUUUUUUAAAAAUAAAUAUCUGAGAGACUUCUUUUUGGUUCUUCCUACCUGAGGAGAUUACUUUUUCUUCCAUAACACCGUGAUUAGUGUUAUCCGGUUGUCUGCAACAGAGCUGUGUGGUAAGUCAUAGAAUUACUUGAAUAUACAAUCAGUCUAUAAUUAACCAGUGAUGACAAUUAUAAAUAACACUGUGUCCCAGAGUUUCCAAGAAACCUGACACAUAGUUCUUGGGUAUGCUGAAACAUUUCCAAGAAAAGUAAAGAAGUGAAAAAUCUUUAAGAAGUCGUCAAUUAAAAUGUGUUUCAGUAAAAAUGACUUUCAUGAUGUUUGAUACAUAUCACUGGGAAAACAUUCAUCCCUAUCUUCACACCUCUAAUUGUUUGCACUGUCCAAUUACAGCUUUUCAGACUUAAGAGCUAGUUGGGACAAUCAUGUUGGCUUUUUGAUAUAUGAAGAAAAGUUCACAUGGAUAAGGUUUGCAUAUCCAAGAACCAGAUAUUCACUAGAAGAUACUGAUUUUCUGGUUCUUAGGUCAUGAUUUCUACUAGCUUUAUUUCCUGCCUCCCCCUUUUGUCCUGGGAUCACACUCAACUCGGGACCUUGCACUUGCAAGGCAGGUGGCGGGACCACUGAGCUAAAUCCCCUGUCCCUCUACCACCUUUUAAACUGAUGUAAAGCACAGGUUGAAUUUCUUUUCUUUCCUGUUUCCUUUAUCCCAGCUCCUUUCCAUCUUUCUUUCUCCUUUUUCUUGCUCACUUUCUACAUUCACAUAUUUCAUGGACUUAGGGAAUUAUGAGAAUUAUGUUAGAUAGGAAAUAAUUCCUUUGUUCAAGUGAUAAGAAGAAAAAUGAUAGUGCAAAUUAUAAAAGGAAUCUACCAUUAUAUUCCUUUAAAACCUUUUCUUAAGAAUGAUGAGGAAAAAUUUCAAACCAGAACUGACCCACACACUGGCCAUCAAUAUAAACCCUAAUGAUUACAAAAAUGUAACCAAAAAAAGGCCAGUAUUGGAAAAUGAGAGCACACUGUGCAUAGCGAUGCUGCUUUAGGUGGAAGGACAAGUAUCCAUCUUUGUCAUCUCAGACGGAUGAUUGAUUGGACAUACGGAGUCUUCAGCCCUGAUAAGUUCACACACACAUAAACAUGCAGUGAUUAACAAGCAAGAUGUGAUCCAAACUGUAAGCUCCAUAAAGGCAGAGGCUACAAUUUUGGUACAAAACACUACUGCAAGCACCUAGCACCAAACAGGUACUGAUGUGAGUAAUGACUGAAAGCUAUCGAUUUGAUGUUAUCUCAUUCCCUGAAGUUGCACAGACUUGGUUUACUCAUUGUAGAAAUGAUACUCAAGCUAGUUCAGGAGGAAAAGGC
ensembl:lincRNA